AUGAUCAACCCUGAUAUCAGGUACAUUAUAAACAAAACAGAGGCAAUUCUAGCAGAAAUAUCUUUUCAUUCACUCUUUCACACGUCUGUGAGGUUAUUGGGAUGCCGUCUGGUGGAUGGGUCAUCAUGUUUGAGGGUGGAUGGGUCAUCAUGUUUGAGGGUGGAUGGGUACACAUCAUGUUUGAGGGUGGAUGGGUACACAUCAUGUUUGAGGGUGGAUGGGUACACAUCAUGUUUGAGGGUGGAUGGGUACACAUCAUGUUUGAGGGUGGAUGGGUCAUCAUGUUUGAGGGUGGAUGGGUACACAUCAUGUUUGAGGGUGGAUGGGUACACAUCAUGUUUGAGGGUGGAUGGGUCAUCAUGUUUGAGGGUGGAUGGGUCAUCAUGUUUGAGGGUGGAUGGGUCAUCAUGUUUGAGGGUGGAUGGGUCAUCAUGUUUGAGGGUGGAUGGGUCAUCAUGUUUGAGGGUGGAUGGGUCAUCAUGUUUGAGGGUGGAUGGGUACACGUCAUGUUUGAGGGUGGAUGGGUCAUCAUGUUUGAGGGUGGAUGGGUCAUCAUGUUUGAGGGUGGAUGGGUCAUCAUGUUUGAGGGUGGAUGGGUCAUCAUGUUUGAGGGUGGAUGGGUACACAUCAUGUUUGAGGGUGGAUGGGUACACGUCAUGUUUGAGGGUGGAUGGGUACACGUCAUGUUUGAGGGUGGAUGGGUACACGUCAUGUUUGAGGGUGGAUGGGUACACGUCAUGUUUGAGGGUGGAUGGGUACACGUCAUGUUUGAGGGUGGAUGGCUCAUCAUGUUUGAGGGUGGAUGUGUACACAUCAUGUUUGAGGGUGGAUGGGUCAUCAUGUUUGAGGGUGGAUGGGUCAUCAUGUUUGAGGGUGGAUGGGUACACAUCAUGUUUGAGGGUGGAUGGGUACAUGUCAUGUUUGAGGGUGGAUGGGUACACGUCAUGUUUGAGGGUGGAUUGGUCAUCAUGUUUGAGGGUGGAUGGGUCAUCAUGUUUGAGGGUGGAUGGGUACAUGUCAUGUUUGAGGGUGGAUGGGUCAUCAUGUUUGAGGGUGGAUGGGUCAUCAUGUUUGAAGGUGGAUGGGUACAUGUCAUGUUUGAGGGUGGAUGGGUACACAUCAUGUUUGAGGGUGGAUGGGUACACGUCAUGUUUGAGGGUGGAUGGAUCAUCAUGCUUGAGGGUGGAUGGGUACACGUCAUGUUUGAGGGUGGAUGGGUACACGUCAUGUUUGAGGGUGGAUGGGUACACGUCAUGUUUGAGGGUGGAUGGGUACACGUCAUGUUUGAGGGUGGAUGGGUCAUCAUGUUUGAGGGUGGAUGGGUACACAUCAUGUUUGAGGGUGGAUGGGUACACGUCAUGUUUGAGGGUGGAUGAGUACACGUCAUGUUUGAGGGUGGAUGGGUACACAUCAUGUUUGAGGGUGGAUGGGUACACGUUACCAGAGUCUAUCUGGUAG
rnacentral:lncRNA from 1 species